GGCCACACCAUCGCCCUGCUGGGGGACAAGAAGGGCUGGCUGCAUAAGGUAUUUCUCCAGACGGACACAACGGGGAUGUUGUAUCAGAGUGUAUUGGUGGACCAGGACAGUCCAGUCAACGCUGACCUACUACUGGACCAGUCUGGACAGAAUGUCUACGUCCUCACUGAUGGCAAGGUGUCCAAGGUGUCUGUAUCUCAGUGUGAACAGCAGCCUGACUGCCAGUCCUGUCUGUCUGUCAGAGAUCCUUACUGUGGCUGGUGUGUCCUGGAGGGAAGGUACUGUACACUGACACUCUUCC